GCAUUGCAUACGUACAACGGAAUUGAAUAAUUCCAGUACAAUUCUGCUAUAAAAGCCAUCGGCCUGGAAAUUUAUUAGCCACAUUGUGUGAGAAAGUGUACCCCGAAAUGAAAACCUUUGCCGUUUUAUUAUUGGUUGCCGUUUUGGCUCCGCAAUGCUUUGCAACAUGCGUUAAGAGUUACCCACCCAGCUGUGCGUACAUUGACACUUACUCUGGAACCGCCAAAUUCCCGUUGUGCUUCAGACAGGGAUGGCCAGCAGGUUGUGCCGUACCCGCUUGUGGUUGUUACGUUCCUGGUUGGCAGGGCAGUCAUUGCGAUCUAAAUACGCCAUGCCUUCCACCAAUCAUUAAUGGCAGACUAGUACCACCAUGUCAAGGCCAAUUUUUGGUUGUCCAACAAAGUCACAUCGCUAACACUUAUUACUAAACAUUGAAUUGCAAAAAAUUCUUUCAA